AGAGUUUGAUCCUGGCUUAGGACGAACGCUAGCUACAGGCUUAACACAUGCAAGUCGAGGGGCAGCAUUGAGAUAGCUUGCUAUUCAGAUGGCGACCGGCGCACGGGUGAGUAACGCGUAUCCAACCUUCCCCUUAGUAGGGGAUAGCCCGGUGAAAAUCGGAUUAAUACCCUAUGUUGUUCGAAGCAGACAUCUAAGUUGAACCAAAGGUUUACCGCUAAGGGAUGGGGAUGCGUCUGAUUAGGUAGUAGGCGGGGUAACGGCCCACCUAGCCGACGAUCAGUAGGGGUUCUGAGAGGAAGGUCCCCCACAUUGGAACUGAGACACGGUCCAAACUCCUACGGGAGGCAGCAGUGAGGAAUAUUGGUCAAUGGGCGCGAGCCUGAACCAGCCAAGUAGCGUGCAAGGAUGACUGCCCUAUGGGUUGUAAACUGCUUUUAUGCGGGAAUAAAGUCAGGUACGCGUACCUGUUUGUAUGUACCGCAUGAAUAAGGACCGGCUAAUUCCGUGCCAGCCGCGGC
rnacentral:rRNA from 1 species